UUUCGUUCGACACCGAUCCGUCCUUAGUCUUGCAACGGAAAUUCUACAGGACGUUACGAUCCUCCAGCAUGAAGCAUUUCACGCGACUAACACUAGCGGCGUGCCUUCUCGUGCUUGUCCUUUCCGUGCACGGUGUAACAUCCGAUUCGAGCGAACAGGAACCGCAGCAGGAGAACGCGGCUGCUGAAGGCGCCACGGACGACACCGAGGAUGGGACGGGCGAGGGCGAGGUCGACACACCGUUCGGACAGCCCAACCAGAUAAGCAUCAUCGUUGCGCCCUGCGUUGCCGGCUAUCGUGCAGAUCACAAGGGCAAGUGCCGUCCGGUACUGUAGGCCACCAUUAGACCUCGUGAGCAAUCAGAUGUGUGCAGACCUCGUUGCACUCUGCAGUAGACAUCAACUUUAGCAACACGAUAAAUACACGAGCAGAUGAUAUUUAACGAUCAAUUGGCCAGAACAAACGUCGUUUACCUUUUUACCUACUGGGGAAGGUUUGAUAAGAUAAGGUAUUUUCAAGGAUGUCUAUCCCGUGGGAGUUUAUCACCGACAUAAAAGAAAGAGAACGAAAGGAAACUACUUUUUAAUGGAAAUGAGCUUGCAAUAUAUUCUGGAGUGUCUUUGUCACAGUAGACGUUCGUAAAACAACACCGAAGUGUUGAUAGUGAACUGAAGGUGCGCUGAACUGAUGAAGUGUUAUUUAGGGUAGUCGUUUUUCUGGCAGGCAAAAUGUGGAAGUAUUUCGGUAUACUGUUACUAACCACUUCGAUGGGAGCUAAAAUUGCCG